GCGUAAAAUAUACAUAUGGAUGGAUUGUGACGGUGAAGAGCGAGACAGUGCCAAACAAGGGUGCCGUAUCCUGACGUCGCGUCAUGACCAAAUUUUGAUGACGCUGCAACGACAUCGGUGACUGUGCAACGACAGCUGCUGUUUCGUACUUGCCCGAACGUCGUGCGCAUGCUUGACAAAGAAAAAGAAAGGAAGAGGAGGGAGGUGGAUACUCGGCACUCUGCGUCUUCCGGGAGGAGAAGAAUAAGAAGGCGUCGGCCGCCGAUUUAUGAAGACGUAACAGGCAGGAGCGCCGGCGCAACAGGCCGCUCUAUCGCCCGCCGAAGCCAAGCGGAACCCCCGGCGGGCCCGCGACGAGCGACGCGGGCAUCUGCAGCCCACU